CUCUUUCAUUUUCUUCUUUAUUCUCUCAAUCAAUCUCUCUUGAAACCUAUGGAACCACCAUCUCCGACCACCACUACCACAUCUGUUCACGCCAUCUCCACCUAUUGUCCCCAAUUGCUGAAAUCACAUCUCCUCUUAUUCCCUUUCUUUCUUUUGACUAAUCCAUUUUAUUUCCCUCAGUUUAAUCAAGAUUAGAGGUCAUGGGUUCAUACGCGUCACUUGAAUUUGAACGAUGCUACCCACUGGUUCUACUUUUCUUUUUCACUUUUUUUUAUAUGCCUUGUCGCCUUUGCUUCAUCUGUUUGUGUUAUGUUCGCCUAAAGUUCAUUUUUUAACAAUAAAAACCCUAAUUUCUUCUUAUUUGAUUUUGAAGUAGUAUUUGUUUAGUAAUCUACGUGCUACAUGGACGCCUGAUUUCUACUUCCUUUCACACCUUCGUACUGACUCCCUCUCCUCGAUAGUUUGCGAUUACAAUUUAGGGUUCAUGAAUGGUCCUUCAAUUUCUAUUUUGAUCGUUCUCCUAUUAACAUUGGGUUAAUUUCACCGAUGGAUUAGUGUUGAAGAAUAACCUCACCCUUCGUCUUCUACUUUCUUUUAUUUACUCUUUCAACUGGAUGUGAAAUAUAAGUGAACAUCGGGAGUCAACGAUUGAAGAGGAAGCUAAGGGCUGAGCAUCAGGUUUGUAUUUUUGUUUUUUUUUUUUUUUUUGUCUGUUUUAGCUCCGUUAUCUCCUGUAUAUUCUUGGAUUUCUGGCCGUGGUCAAGGGCAGAGGAAGAAGCCAAUGAAGUUGAUUUAAAUGAGUUUACAUAUUUCAUCUUAACUGUUUCCUGUAUCAAGAUUUUUGAUGGUUGUAGUUUAUCUCACGUCUCCCCUGUUGGUCUUCUUGAAGAUCGUCAACAUUUUAACAAGCUUGGAUCUUUAUUUUUCCAUUAAAGCUAAAGUAGGACAAGGUAGCAAUGCAACACAAAGAGAUAUUCAUGUUUUCCAUUUUAAAUUCAAAAAGUAUUAGCUUUCAAUCCGAAAUAUCCUAUUUAAUUGUUAUUUUCGGAUUUAAUUUUUCUAUAAAGGAAAAUUUUAUUUUUUAAAGUUCUCAGGCCUUGGUUUUUAUAACAAAUCAGCUUAGGAAACUCCUUUAGCUUCCAUUACUUGAAGUUUCCAUUUUUGUAGAUAUAUGUUAUGUAUUUUCUUAAAUGCUCUGAGAACUUAACCAUGCAUUAUACUUAGAUCUUUCUUAUUGAUUUAAUAUUACAUAUUGGAGAUUAAUAGAUGCAAGCGUUCUUCCAUAAUUGAUCUUAUUGACAGAGAGCAAACUGAUGAGGUUCUAUAUGUAGAUUUGAGACAAUCAAGGCUCAUGAGGUUUGUACUCUUGUAGUGUAAGUUUUCAACAUAAGGUAUAUCUUUGAGAUGCUAUAUUGGUUUUCGAUAAUUAAGACUAAUCACUAGAAGCAUGAGAUAAACUUUGAUUUCAAGACAAAAUGAUUGUUCGGAAUCAUGGUUAUCAAUAUUCGUUGGAUCAUUUGAUAUUAAAAUCAUACCAUCAAAAAGAAAAUCUCGGUGUUAACAAUAUUAGUUCAGGGAUAAGAUCGGUAUAGAUUUGUUAGGUCAGCCUUCAGCAGUAGGUACAUAGACAAGCUUGUCGAUCAAAUCCCACCUUCUUCGCCGCCUCAUGAGUAAAUUUUUGUUUUGAGUUUGUUGUUUGGAUGUUCUUGAAUAUGUACUUUAUGAAGAUUGAUGAUUUCUUACUUAUACAUCUUUCAUACAUUUGCUUUUGAAAACAGUUAUAAUCCUUUUUUUCAUACCAUUGUAAUAACAUCUAAACCUUUUUAAUCUUUUAAUUUCCAUUUAAUUCUUUCUAACUGUCUAAUGAUUAACUGAUUUUUCAUGCUAUCUUCCAUUGUUCCAUGUAUUUGAAGUAAUUACUAAUUACUUUUUUAUGGUCACUUAAUUAUUUUUCUUAACAAAAGUUGUCCAUGCAAGUUAUUUUGCUUCCUAAGGUUGGGUAUUGUUUUUAUGAUUUCUCUAAAAUUGAUAAUUUUAUGUUUGUAUACUAUUGUUCUUGUGUAUCUGAUUUGGGUUCUUUUUUUGUAUAUAGGACAAAUAAUGCAAUGCUUUCAUGGCACCAGGUAAAAAUUUUAUUCUUACAAAUAAAAACCCAAAUCACAAUGUACUUUAAUACAUUCAUCAAUAAUAUCCAUCUACUUUCAUUUUAACAUGUUCAAACACUGUACUAUAAAACUUUAGACUUUAAAUUAAAAUUGAGAAAGACAAAUGAAAAAAAAUCCUUACAUUACAAAUGUGCUAUGUUUUUUAGGUAGCAUCUUUAAGUAAAGGUCGGUGGAAAAAGCCCAAUAGAGUUGUGCUUCACAAGCUUCAUGAUGCAUGCGAAAAUACGGACAUCUUUAGAUCAACAAAAAUUUAAUCAUAUUCUGUGAAAACUCAAGCAAGAUUUAUUCUUGCGAUUUUUUAGUGAACUUAUCCAAAUAACUUGACAUGGUGAUAUUUUUAUUGAUUUCUAUAUCCAAAACUUACAAGCCCCAUCAAUUAUUGUAAAAAUCACACAUGCUUGAAACAAAAGAGUAUAUACAAUAAACUUAUACCAAAAGUUCUUCAUCUAAGACUACACAGGGUCGUCCUUAGGACGGCCUUAAG
rnacentral:lncRNA from 1 species